GGGGUGUUAGCUCAGCUGGUAGAGCGUCUCAAUGGCAUUGAGAAGGUCAGGAGUUCGAUCCUCCUACACUCCACCA
rnacentral:tRNA from 1 species